UACGGAGGGUGCAAGCGUUGUCCGGAUUUAUUGGGUUUAAAGGGUGCGUAGGUGGUUUGAUAAGUCUGGUUUGGAAGCAAGCGGCUUAACCGUUUGAUGUGGCUGGAAACUGUUGAACUUGAAUGCGUUGGCGGUAGCCGGAACGGGUCAUGUAGCGGUGAAAUGCAUAGAUAUGACCCAGAACACCGAUUGCGAAGGCAGGCUACUACGACGUGAUUGACACUGAGGCACGAGAGCAUGGGUAGCGAACAGG
rnacentral:rRNA from 1 species